rfam:Homo sapiens chromosome 7, GRCh38 reference primary assembly.
GCCGGGUGCGGUGAUUCACACCUGUAAUCCCAGCACUUUGGGAGGCCGAGGCAGGCAGAUCAUGAGGUCAGGAGUUUGAGACCAGCCUGGCCAACGUGGUGAAACCCCGUCUCUACUAAAAUACAAAAAAAUUAGCCGGGGUUGGUGGUGCAUGCCUGUAGUCCCAGCUACUUGGGAGGCUGAGGCAGGAGAAUCACUUGAAUCUGGGAGGUAGAGGCUCACCAUCUACCCGGCUAAUUUUUUUGUAUUUUUAGUAGAGACGGGGUUUCACCACGUUGGCCAGGCUGGUCUCGAACUCCUGACCUCAUGAUCCGCAUCCCCCCU